rnacentral:lncRNA from 1 species
CACAGAACAAACAAGAUCAAAUCUGAUGACUACUAACCUACCACAAUAUCACUCCACGGAAGUUAAAAAAAAAAAAAAGAACUUGUAGCGAGCUGCCCAGUUGGAUAUGACUCAAAAAAGCAAGACAGUAGACAACUACUUAGAUUAUCACUAAAUGUAGAAGCCACACCACAAGAAAGUCGAAUACAAAGAAAAUAGUGGUAAAGACCAUCAGACCAAAACACAAACAAGCACUAUAGACUGGUGAAGGAGACUAAUAGAUUUCAAGGUUGGAAAGACGCCCUACACCACAAGCAUUACACUGGUCAGAUCCCAUUGGUGUACAAGAU